rnacentral:lncRNA from 1 species
CAGCCCUGUAGGAGACACCUCCAGAGAAAGUAACAGCUCUCAAUUGAUUAGCUGAGCCAGAAUUAGCUUCUGUUACUUACAACUGUGAGUCCUGACUGAAAACAUAUUUCUUCCUUUGAAGAACUGUUACCUGUAACAGGCUAAGAAGAAUAUUAAGAAUAAACAGAUGCUUUUACAGCUCGCCUUGGCGGGAAGAUCUGGCACAAAUGAAGUAUCUAUAAGGAGCAGCAGAGUCAAGGUGGUGAUCCUGUGGAUGAAUAACUGAAACCUGAUAUACUUGACAGCAGAAAAUAUAAAGCAAAUUGAAAAGGAGAGAGUGUGGAGAUAAAUAAGAAAAUGAAAGAACUGAUAAAGUCACUUGGAUUAAAAAACCUGGGAGUAAGGGCUUUGUUUAUGAUUGAACUUAAGAGAGAAUUGAGGGACCACCUACCUUUGAUGUUAACGAGAAAGUAAAGAGGAAACAUAUUUAGAGAUACC